UAACAGUGAGAAAUCAUUGCUAAUACCGCAUAUGCCAUGAACAUCACAUGAUGAAAAUGGGAAAAGAGUAAUCUGCUAGUAGAUGGGCUCGCGUCUGAUUAGAUAGUUGGUGGGGUAACGGCCUACCAAGUCGACGAUCAGUAGCCGGACUGAGAGGUUGAACGGCCACAUUGGGACUGAGAUACGGCCCAGACUCCUACGGGAGGCAGCAGUCGGGAAUAUUGCGCAAUGGAGGAAACUCUGACGCAGUGACGCCGCGUAUAGGAAGAAGGUUUUCGGAUUGUAAACUAUUGUCGUUAGGGAAGAUACAAGACAGUACCUAAGGAGGAAGCUCCGGCUAACUACGUGCCAGCAGCCGCGGUAAUACGUAGGGAGCAAGCGUUAUCCGGAUUUAUUGGGUGUAAAGGGUGCGUAGACGGGACAACAAGUUAGUUGUGAAAUCCCUCGGCUUAACUGAGGAACUGCAACUAAAACUAUUGCUCUUGAGUGUUGGAGAGGAAAGUGGAAUUCCUAGUGUAGCGGUGAAAUGCGUAGAUAUUAGGAGGAACACCGGUGGCGAAGGCGACUUUCUGGACAAUAACUGACGUUGAGGCACGAAAGUGUGGGGAGCAAACAGGAUUAGAUACCCUGGUAGUCCACACCGU
rnacentral:rRNA from 1 species